UGAGCCCUACGGGGCAGCAGUGAGGAAUAUUGGUCAAUGGGCUUACGCCUGAACCAGCCAAGUCGCGUGAGGGAAGACUGCCCUAUGGGUUGUAAACCUCUUUUGUCAGGGAGCAACGCCGGCUACGUGUAGCCGGACUGAGAGUACCUGAAGAAAAAGCAUCGGCUAACUCCGUGCCAGCAGCCGCGGUAAUACGUAGGUGGCAAGCGUUGUCCGGAAUUACUGGGUGUAAAGGGAGCGCAGGCGGGAAGCCAAGUCAGCUGUGAAAACUACGGGCUUAACUUGUAGACUGCAGUUGAAACUGG
rnacentral:rRNA from 1 species